AUUGAACGCUGGCGGCAGGCCUAACACAUGCAAGUCGAGCGGAUGAAGGGAGCUUGCUCCUGUAUUCAGCGGCGGACGGGUGAGUAAUGCCUAGGAAUCUGCCUGGUAGUGGGGGAUAACGUCCGGAAACGGGCGCUAAUACCGCAUACGUCCUGAGGGAGAAAGUGGGGGAUCUUCAGACCUCACGCUAUCAGAUGAGCCUAGGUCGGAUUAGCUAGUUGGUGGGGUAAAGGCCUACCAAGGCGACGAUCCGUAACUGGUCUGAGAGGAUGAUCAGUCACACUGGAACUGGGACACGGUCCAGACUCCUACGGGAGGCAGCAGUGGGGAAUAUUGGACAAUGGGCGAAAGCCUGAUCCAGCCAUGCCGCGUGUGUGAAGAAGGUCUUCGGAUUGUAAAGCACUUUAAGUUGGGAGGAAGGGCAGUAAGUUAAUACCUUGCUGUUUUGACGUUACCAACAGAAUAAGCACCGGCUAACUUCGUG
rnacentral:rRNA from 1 species